rnacentral:lncRNA from 1 species
AGGAAAUGGUAAAGUACCAUUUGGCCCGAAAUAAUGAAACCUCCAUAGCUAAUUGGUAGCUUGGUUUCAAUUAAUUCGAAGAUGGCUAGCUACAACUAAAUGGUGAUUCAAUGUUUGGACAUAAUAUGAGUUUCCAAAACCAUUAUUAAGAUAGUCUUGAUAAUAUAUGUCUAAAACUAUAAAUCACAAGACAUGUAAGUUGUAGAGAUCCAUCCAUCAUGAAUCUUAGCAAGCAAGUGGGAGCCAUAAGCGUCUUAUGAGAGAAAGAUCAAAUCAAUUGAUUUCUCAUAAAGAUGUAAAUGAAUCUUUUGUUUACUAGGUUUACAAAAGAUUAGUGGGAGUUAAUCAUGUUCCUAAAUUUAAAUAUAUAUAUAUAUAUAUACACAUAUAUGAUAUAUUAAUUUUGGAAAUGAAAAGAAUACUUCUUCGUUAAAGUUAUGACUAUAAACAUUCUAUAAAGAUAGAAUGUAUAUGAGAGACAUAGUCUAUAAACAUGGGAUGGAAAUCUAUAAUGAUAGAUUUCAAGAUAUAAUUGGAUUAUAUCAAGCCCUAAUGAUAGACAAGAGAUGCUAGGAAGUUUCUCAUAUGAUGACAAACUUCAAAUCAAAAGGACAACUCUAGUGAGACUAGGAAGUUGUUCUUCUCAAAGGGAACGUACCCUUUUGACUCCUAAAGAAACAUAAUGCAUAAAUAGAAUCCUUUAUGCAUACGCAGAAAGGUGAUUUACGUAUUUCAUAUUGUAUGAAAAACAUUGAUAUGAAUUGUACCUAGAUCGGUACAAGACAAUAUCAAUGCAAGCCCAGGAUUAGAACCAUGGCAACUGUCAAGUGAGUCCUUAAGUAUUUAAGAAAUACUAAAGGAUAGAAUCCUCAAAGAAUGAGGAAGAAUUAGAGUAACGUAAAGGAAGGGUAAAUGUAUUAGAUUAUGAAUCUAAUGCAUCAUUGGAUGUUUCUUCAUUAUGAAUGAAGAGAUAAUCAGAUAUCUCUUUAUUAUGACUAAAGAGAUAUUUGGAUGGAAACAUUACAAGUAAUGACUUUAGUGUGUUCCAUUAUGAAUGCAAAAUAUAUUGCUUUAUAGAAGUUUACAACAAUGUUGUUUGGAUGGGAAAGUUCAUUUAUGAACUCUCUAUUCAGUUCCAACCAGAAAGUGUCUCUAGUGUACUGACAUUAGGACACUAAUAGGGCGAUAGCUCAAGCCAGGGAAUCAAGGUCUCAUCAAGAUCCGAACUCAAAUGAGAGACUAAACCACAUGAUUAAGAAUCAUGUAUAAUGGUGACAUCGUUAUUCUCAAGGUUGCUUCUAUGGAUAACAUAUAGAUAUCCAUUGUCUAGGCCUACUACUUAGGCAUUUAUGAAAUGACUACAGAAGAGAUAUCAUCACUGAUGACCAAGCUGAUUGGCUCUAGUGCAAGUGGGAGAUUGUUGGAAAUGUGCCCUAAAACCAAUCAUAUGAUGAUACUUUACGGACAUUUCACAUGUUAAACUAAUCUAGUUUAAUAUCAAGGGCAAAGAUUAUUGUUUGAGCCGUCUCAUAUAAAUGUUAUACGCUUAAAUGAUAAGUCCAAGGAAUAUGUGAUUGGGAGAAUGCGAUCUAAAGAAGUUAGAUUCAUGAGACCAUUCUUUCGUAGACACAUCCUAAACGUUCCUGAUCAUAGGAUUGCCAAUUGGGCAUUGACAUUCCGUUAAGAUCAGUACGUGCUGUGUCUUUUCUCAGGGAGAGUGACUAGUCUCGAGUCAUUGGUGUGUGUGACAUCAAGACAAGCAUGUAGGUGCUCAAUAAUGAAUGAGUCCACUGAACACGAUCAACGAGGAGUUCUCAUACUCAUGUCACAUGAGAACUCAUGGUUGGGAUAAUGCAAAGUAGUCCUUUGACAUGAGGCAUCAUAGUUGUCUUGUGGCCAGAGUAUGAAUGAGAUUUAGGAAGUCGUUCCAAAUCACAUUCAAGGUAAUCAUAUAAGCACACAAAUCACAUUGGAUAGUAGACAUGAAUAAACUAUCAAACCAAACAAUGUGGUCAAGAGUAUUGUAUUAAAGAAAAACCGUAUUGCAUUUGUAAUCCUAAACUGAAUAGGUUCUCCACCUCUUUUAAUUAGCUUGGGUAACCAUGAUAUGCUGCUAGGUGUCACUCAUGGUUUGUGGAAGCCCUAAACGUGUAUAAUCACUAAAGGGAGAAUUGAAAGUAAGUUUCAAUUCACAAUCGAUUGAAAUGGUUUUAAUCGCCCACUACCUCGCUAA